CACGCAGGCGGAUCGUUAAGUCAGGGGUGAAAUCCCGAGGCUCAACCUCGGAACUGCCUUUGAUACUGGCGAUCUUCGAGUCCGGGAGAGGUGAGUGGAACUCCGAGUGUAGAGGUGAAAUUCGUAGAUAUUCGGAAGAACACCAGUGGCGAAGGCGGCUCACUGGCCCGGUACUGACGCUCAGGUGCGAAAGCGUGGGAGCAAACA
rnacentral:rRNA from 1 species